rnacentral:miRNA from 1 species
CGCUGAUCUGCACAGCUUGGGGCCCCCUGGGGGCAGGAGAGUUCUUGCUGUCCUGUGCCCUCCUGGCCUCCGCCUGGCCUGUCCGAGGGGAGCGCAGGAUCCUGGGCUGUGUCCCCCGCCCCUGGGCUCCGGGGCCUGCGCCGCUGG